CAAGUCGGACGGGAUUUAGGAGCUUGCUUCUAAUGAGAGUGGCGCACGGGUGCGUAACACGUAUGUAACCUACCUUCACCAGGGGGAUAGCCUCUCGAAAGAGAGAUUAAGACCGCAUAACAUUAUUGAAUAGCAUUAUUUAAUAAUCAAAUAUUUAUAGGGUGAAGAUGGGCAUGCGGAACAUUAGCUAGUUGGUAAGGUAACGGCUUACCAAGGCUACGAUGUUUAGGGGAUCUGAGAGGAUGACCCCCCACACUGGUACUGAGACACGGACCAGACUCCUACGGGAGGCAGCAGUAAGGAAUAUUGGUCAAUGGGCGGAAGCCUGAACCAGCCAUGCCGCGUGCAGGAAGACGGCCCUACGGGUUGUAAACUGCUUUUAUACGGGAAUAAACCUCGAUACGUGUAUCGAGCUGAAUGUACUGUAAGAAUAAGGAUCGGCUAACUCCGUGCCAGCAGCCGCGGUAAUACGGAGGAUCCAAGCGUUAUCCGGAUUUAUUGGGUUUAAAGGGUGCGUAGGUGGCCUGUUAAGUCAGGGGUGAAAGACGGUAGCUCAACUAUCGCAGUGCCCUUGAUACUGAUGGGCUUGAAUGAACUAGAGGUAGGCGGAAUGUGACAAGUAGCGGUGAAAUGCAUAGAUAUGUCACAGAACACCAAUUGCGAAGGCAGCUUACUAUGGUUUGAUUGACACUGAGGCACGAAAGCGUGGGGAUCAAACAGGAUUAGAUACCCUGGUAGUCCACGCCCUAAACGAUGAAUACUCGAUGUUGGCGAUAUACGGUCAGCGUCUAAGCGAAAGNNUUAAGUAUUCCACCUGGGGAGUACGCCCGCAAGGGUGAAACUCAAAGGAAUUGACGGGGGCCCGCACAAGCGGAGGA
rnacentral:rRNA from 1 species